CCUACGGGUGGCAGCAGUGGGGAAUCUUGCGCAAUGGGCGAAAGCCUGACGCAGCAACGCCGCGUGGGGGAUGAAGGCUCUCGGGUUGUAAACCCCUUUCAGCAGGGACGCGGUACCUGCAGAAGAAGCCCCGGCUAACUACGUGCCAGCAGCCGCGGUAACACGUAGGGGGCAAGCGUUGUCCGGAUUUAUUGGGCGUAAAGAGCUCGUAGGUGGCUGAGUAAGUCGGGUGUCAAAUCUUCAGGCUCAACCUGGAGCUCCACCCGAUACUGUCUGGCUAGAGUCCGGUAGGGGAGCGUGGAAUUCCUGGUGUAGCGGUGAAAUGCGCAGAUAUCAGGAGGAACACCAGCGGCGAAGGCGGCGCUCUGGGCCGGACUGACACUGAGGAGCGAAAGCGUGGGUAGCAAACAGGAUUAGAUACCCCAGUAGUC
rnacentral:rRNA from 1 species